rnacentral:rRNA from 1 species
AACAAAACUUUCAACAAUGGAUCUCUAGGCUCUGGCAUCGAUGAAGAACGUAGCGAAACGCGAUAUAUAAUGUGAAUUGCAGAACUCAGUGAAUCAUCGAAUCUUUGAACGCACAUUGCACUACUUGGUAUUCCGGGUAGUAUACCUAUUCGAGCGUCUUU